rnacentral:rRNA from 1 species
AGAGUUUGAUCCUGGCUCAGGACGAACGUUGGCGGCGUGGAUAAGGCAUGCAAGUCGAGCGGCCCUUCGGGGCAGCGGCAAACGGGUUAGUAACACGUGGAUAAUAAACCCCAAAGUUGGGCAUAGCCCGGAGAAAUCCGGGGUAAUUCCCAAUAGUCCUUCUCUGUAUUAGGAGAAAGGUAAAGUUUUUUCGCUUUGGGAUUAGUCCGCGUCCUAUCAGCUUGUUGGUGAGGUAAUGGCUCACCAAGGCUAUGACGGGUAGGGGGCGUGAGAGCGCGACCCCCAACAUUAGCACUGCGACACGGGCUAAACACCUACGGGUGGCUGCAGUCGAGAAUCUUUCGCAAUGGGGGAAACCCUGACGAAGCGACGCCGCAUGCGGGAAGAAGUUCUUCGGAAUGUAAACCGCUUUUAUAGGGGAAGAAUUUUUUGACGGUACCCUAUGAAUAAGAGGGGGCUAAUCACGUGCCAGAAGCAUCGGUAAUACGUGACCCUCAAACGUUAUCCGGAUUUACUGGGCGUAAAGAGUCUUAAGGCUGUUUGGCAAGUUUUGGGUUAAAUCCAUAGGCUCAACCUAUGGCCCGCCUAAAAUACUGCUAGACUAGAGAAUGUCAGAGGUUAGUGGAACGCACGGUGUAGAGGUGGAAUUCGUUGAUAUCGUGCGGAACACCAAAAGCGAAGGCAACUAACUGGGGCAGUUCUGACGCUGAUUGACGAAAGUGUGGGUAGCGAAAAGAAUUAGAUACUCUUGUAGUCCACACUGUAAACGAUGGACACUAGCUAGUGGAAGUAUCGACCCUUUCACUGGCGAAGCUAACGCGUUAAGUGUCCCGCCUGGGAAGUACGCGCGCAAGCGUGAAACUCAAAGGAAUAGACGGGGAGUUACACAAGCGGUGGAACACGUGGCUUAAUUCGACUCUAAGCGAAAACCUUACCAAGACUUGACAUUUUAGUGGAAAGGCCGAGGAAACUUGGCCCCUCGCAAGACCGCUAAAACAGGUGUUGCAUGGUUGUCGUCAGCAUGUGCUGUGAAGUGCUACCUUAAAUGGGUUAACAUGCGCAACCCCUACUCUAUGUUUUAUAUGUCAUAGAGGACUGCCAGGGCUAACCUGGAGGAAGGUGGGGACGACGCCAAAUCAGCAUGGCCCUUACGUCUUGGGCUGCACACGUGUUACAAUGGCUGGUACAAUGGGUUGCUAAACCGCGAGGUGGAGCUAAUCCCACCAAAGCCAGUCUCAGUUCGGAUUGAGGGCUGAAAUUCGCCCUUAUGAAGUUGGAAUCGCUAGUAAUCGCAGAUCAGCUAUGCUGCGAUGAAUAUGUCACUGACUCUUGUACUCACUGCCCGUCAAAUCAGGGAAGCUGGGAGCACCCGAAGCCCGUGCUAGUCGCGGUCUAAGGUGAAUUCAGUGACCAGGAUUAAGUCGUAACAAGGCA